UACGUAGGGUGCUAGCGUUGUCCGGAUUUACUGGGCGUAAAGCGCACGUAGGCGGAUCGUUAAGUCGGGGGUGAAAUCCUGGAGCUCAACUCCAGAACUGCCUUCGAUACUGGCGAUCUCGAGUCCGGAAGAGGUGAGUGGAACUCCUAGUGUAGAGGUGGAAUUCGUAGAUAUUAGGAAGAACACCAGUGGCGAAGGCGACUCACUGGUCCGGUACUGACGCUGAGGUGCGAAAGCGUGGGGAGCAAACAGG
rnacentral:rRNA from 1 species